CUGCCUUAUCCUUUCUUCUCUCAUCCUGUCGCAUGCAUCCUCAACCCCCACAGCAAUUCCUCCCCUGCGUACUCUCUCUCCCAUGGCCUACCUCCAAAUAAACAGCUCGCCGGCCGCGGAAUAGGUGCGUGGCGAGCAGGCGAUCCCAGAGGAGCACACACGAAGAUGUAGAGGUGCGCGUCGUACAACGAUCAGCGAGCAGAGGUGCAGUGCUCGUCGUCUUGUCUGCCGGAACUAGAUGUGCGCCCUCUUCAUGGCCAUCGCAACCAGGGUUCGUUAGUCGCAUGGCCAAGCUGCAAUUGGCCACAGGGGCGACGAAUUUGUGCUGGAACCAGAUUUCUUUAGGUACGAUGCACAUCGACAGUGGAGGCCCGCAGAGACGGCGACGCCGUGCUACGAUGGGAGGCAUGAGUUUUUGCUGUCCGAGCUGCAUCCGGCCAUCGACGGGAGCUGCAUGCAGCAGGAGGGUGUUGCUGGAUCGACGACGAGAUGUGGAGGGUGUGCGACAACAGCAACGGCGAGUUGCGGAGAGAGGUGGCGACCUGCAACCCAUGGCGAUGGCGGCUGCCGCGGGGUGCGCAAGCUUUGUGCGGCAAGGCCGCGGGGUGGGGGCGGUUGGCUGAGCGUGGUGACUCGUUGUGGGAGGAGGCAUGAUGUGCGGAAGGAUAGAGAGGAAAUCAUGCGGCUACUUUUGCCUGAAUCCAACGGCUGCUAGGCGACCGGCCGAAAGUUUGGGCCGGUGCGCCGGCGCCUAGCAGUGGCCUUUUAAUUUUAACCAAAAUUUUGCAUGUUCA